CCUACGGGAGGCAGCAGUGAGGAAUAUUGGUCAAUGGGCGGAAGCCUGAACCAGCCAAGUAGCGUGCAGGAUGACGGCCCUACGGGUUGUAAACUGCUUUUAUACGGGAAUAACGCGCCUUACGUGUAGGGCUUUGCAUGUACCGUCUGAAUAAGGACAGGCUAAUUCCGUGCCAGCAGGCGCGGUAAUACGGAAGGUACGGACGUUAUCCGGAUUUAUUGGGGUUAAAAGGAGCGUAGGCCGCAUGUCAAGCGUGCUGUGAAAUGUCCGGGCUCAACCCGGGCCUUGCAGCGCGAACUGGCGUGCUUGAGUGCGCGGAAAGCAGGCGGAAUUCGUGGUGUAGCGGUGAAAUGCUUAGAUAUGACGAAGAACCCCGAUUGCGAAGGCAGCUUGCUGCAGCGGAACUGACGCUGAUGCUCGAAAGCGUGGGUAUCGAACAGGAUUAGAUACCCCAGUAGUC
rnacentral:rRNA from 1 species